CAAGGCCACACCUCCUAAUCCUUCCCAAACACUUCCACCAACUGGGGACGAAGUAUUCAAAUAUACGGGGGCCAUGUCAUUUAAACCACCACAUUCUUGAUUGCAAAUAUCUCUGCCAUCCUUCUGUCCUGAUGCUUGCAUCUUGCUGUAGCUCUGAGAGCAAUGGCGCCAGCCAAUCAUGGACGGAAGCUCCCGAAAUCAUGAGGCCAACCGAGUUCUUCCUGUCUUAAGCUGUUUAUCCCAGCUGCAAUGAGGAAACCCCUGAGUAAACAGAGAGCGUGAUGUUGGCCCUGAGGUCUCUCUGAGCUGCACCCCGGGGGACACACUCCAGGGUCAGGCCUACUUCCGGUCCUAUUCCAGCCUCCAGUCAGCCACCAUGUUGUCUCCCUGAAGUAUUUCUUCGGACUAUGUUUGCUCAGCCCUUGAAGGAAAAGCCUGUCUCCAAACAGCAGAGCAGAGGAACUCUCUGAGGCAGAUGUCUGCUGAAGGCCAGCGCCCUCUGCCCUCCCUGCCAGAGGCCCUCCCCGGCCCAGAACAAUGGCUGCAAGUCACUCAGAGCACUCCACAGACUUCCAGACCCAGAUGUCUGCAACCAAGCCAGUGUAGAGACUCACAUCUGCCCUCCAUCAUAUAAAGUCAGCAUGUGGCACAAAUGCUAGAUGUGCCCAUGUGUCCAGGCUCUGGCUAAGAAGUGUGAGCUGAAGGGAUAUGGGCCUCUGAUACACACAUGAUGUCCUUCAACAGAAAAAAGC